rnacentral:rRNA from 1 species
AUGAACGCUAGCGACAGGCUUAACACAUGCAAGUCGAGGGGCAGCAUGGUAGGUAGCAAUACUUAUUGAUGGCGACCGGCGCACGGGUGAGUAACGCGUAUGCAACUUACCUAUCAGAGGGGGAUAGCCCGGCGAAAGUCGGAUUAAUACUCCAUAAAACAGGGGUCCCGCAUGGGACUAUUUGUUAAAGAUUCAUCGCUGAUAGAUAGGCAUGCGUUCCAUUAGGCAGUUGGCGGGGUAACGGCCCACCAAACCGACGAUGGAUAGGGGUUCUGAGAGGAAGGUCCCCCACAUUGGUACUGAGACACGGACCAAACUCCUACGGGAGGCAGCAGUGAGGAAUAUUGGUCAAUGGCCGAGAGGCUGAACCAGCCAAGUCGCGUGAAGGAUGAAGGAUCUAUGGUUUGUAAACUUCUUUUAUAGGGGAAUAAAGUGUGGGACGUGUCCCAUUUUGUAUGUACCCUAUGAAUAAGCAUCGGCUAACUCCGUGCCAGCAGCCGCGGUAAUACGGAGGAUGCGAGCGUUAUCCGGAUUUAUUGGGUUUAAAGGGUGCGUAGGUGGUAAUUUAAGUCAGCGGUGAAAGUUUGUGGCUCAACCAUAAAAUUGCCGUUGAAACUGGGUUACUUGAGUGUGUUUGAGGUAGGCGGAAUGCGUGGUGUAGCGGUGAAAUGCAUAGAUAUCACGCAGAACUCCAAUUGCGAAGGCAGCUUACUAAACCAUAACUGACACUGAAGCACGAAAGCGUGGGUAUCAAACAGGAUUAGAUACCCUGGUAGUCCACGCCGUAAACGAUGGAUACUAGGUGUAGGAGGUAUCGACCCCUCCUGUGCCGGAGUUAACGCAAUAAGUAUCCCGCCUGGGAAGUACGAUCGCAAGAUUAAAACUCAAAGGAAUUGACGGGGGCCCGCACAAGCGGAGGAACAUGUGGUUUAAUUCGAUGAUACGCGAGGAACCUUACCCGGGUUUGAACGUAGUCAGACCGACCUUGAAAGAGGUCUUCUAGCAAUAGCUGAUUACGAGGUGCUGCAUGGUUGUCGGCAGCUCGUGCCGUGAGGUGUCGGCUUAAGUGCCAUAACGCGCGCAACGCGUAUCACUAGUUACAAACAGGUUCAGCUGAGGACUCUGGUCAGACUGCCAGCGUAAGCUGUGAGGAAGGUGGGGAUGACGUCAAAUCAGCACGGCCCUUACAUCCGGGGCGACACACGUGUUACAAUGGCAUGGACAAAGGGCAGCUACCUGGCGACAGGAUGCUAAUCUCUAAACCAUGUCUCAGUUCGGAUCGGAGUCUGCAACUCGACUCCGUGAAGCUGGAUUCGCUAGUAAUCGCGCAUCAGCCAUGGCGCGGUGAAUACGUUCCCGGGCCUUGUACACACCGCCCGUCACACCAUGGGAGCCGGUAAUACCCGAAGUCAGUAGUCUAACCGCAAGGAGGACGCUGCCGAAGGUAGGAUUGGCGACUGGGGUG